rnacentral:lncRNA from 1 species
AUGCUCUGCAGUGUAAACACAAAGCAGUGGCCCCAACUCAGGGCCAGAAAGGAAGGGAGGCUGCUUCUUCUUCUUCUUCAGACUACUUCUCCUGCAUCUCUUCUGAAGACAAGCACACUGUUGCUCGAGUCUCAAAGUUACAUGAAUAUGAUCUACCAUCUGGCUACUCUUGGGAGUACAAUGCCCUGGUACCUGAGGCAAGAAGUGGAGCCUCUGAAUCAGAAUACUUCUCCUGUGACUCCUCUUUUUCCAAUCCCUCUUGUGCUGAAUUCUGGAAGACUCCAGAGGAUACUUCUCAGCCUGAAUCAUAUGUGGAGGUCCCAGUCUGCAGUCAGACACCAGGAGAAAAGUCCUCUGACUCAGAAUAUUUCUCCUGUGUCUCCUCACCAUGCAAGCUUAUUUUUGCUGAUGAGGACGUUUUCUUACAGCAGCACAGACCCAGUGGUGCGAAGAUUUCAAACAAUGGUGUCCUGCACACUCCAAUGAUCUGAUAGCAGUUCUUGUGAGCCCCAUAGCAUCGAGGUAGGACUGGCCUGAAGAUGGAUGUCUCUGAUUCUCUGUGGCUGCUUUCAGUUGUUCUGGGGUACAUAUGGCACUCAACUCUGGAGAAAAUAGCCACAUAGAGCUGUGAGAUCAAGGAAUACUGGGGAUACUGUAUGCUCAGGAGACCUGUGGAAAAACUUUCUCCCUCCUGUUACCCACACACAGAGAGUCAGGGGGCUACUGAAGAUACUUGAACCACGGCCUUGUGGAAGAGAAAACAGUAUAGGUAGAAAGAUGUUAGUACUUAGGGAGGCAAGUGUUUCAUACCUAGAGCUAUCAUCAGUAGAACAGAAAACUGAUGACACUCAGCAGGAAUUUAGGGCAAAAGAUUCCUAAAGUGACAGAGGGUUUAAAAAAAUACCCUCUCUUUCUACUUUGAGUUCUACUUUUAUCUUCUCAAGUCCCUUUCAUUUAUUAUAGCUAGAACACCUGGCUCAGUCUUACUCUCCAGCCCAGAUCUUUUCCUUCACUCCUACUUUAUAACCCUUCCCCAUAUAGAAAUCCAUGAAUGCAUGCUUGAUGCAAACACGUGAAACACAGCAGAAUUUAAUGGUACAGAUCAUAAUACCCAUUCUGCCGUGCAUUCACCCUCAUGCAUUUCUCUCAAAGCAGUGCAUAUUUUUCUAUAUCCUUUUAAGGUAACUCAUACUUUUUCCUUAUCACCUUUUAAUACAUUCACUGCACAGUUAUCUGCCUGAAGGACAGGCAUUCUUAUUGUUGAGGAAGAUAAGGUACUGCACAAAUGAAACCAAAGGCAAUUAAAACUCACGCCUUGACUUCUCUGGGCUUAAGUACUUGAAGGUGCACAAACACUUCUUAUUCAGUCAUAUUAGGAAUGAUGGAACAUCUAAAAAUCAUCUGAAAAAAUCAUGUAUGUGUAUAUACAGGUAUCAUGAGGCAGUUUUAAGCAUAAUAACUUUAGAAGUAUAAAAGCUAUGAACUUUUAGAAAAUAUAAUUUGUUUUAAUUAUUUGCAUGUCAUUUACAUGUUUAAUUCCGCACAUUUUCAAAGAUUAAAUUUAAUUUCUCUUUGUCAUCCUGACAUCUUCAAUCAGAAGGAGGGAAACAAAAAUAAACAUUAAAAAGUGUUAUGGGCA